CCAAUAGCGUAUAUUAAAGUUGUUGCAGUUAAAAAGCUCGUAGUUGAAUUUCGGGGUUAGUAGGUUGGUCAUGCCUCUGGUAUGUACUGGUCUCACUGAUUCCUCCUUCCUGAUGAGCCGUAAUGCCAUUAAUUUGGUGUUGCGGGGUAUUUGGACGGUUACUUUGAAAAAAUUAGAGUGUUUAAAGCAAGCUAACGCUUGAAUACAUUAGCAUGGAAUAAUGAAAUAUGACGUUCGAUCCUAUUUUGUUGGUUUCUAGGAUUGACGUAAUGAUUAAUAGGGAUAGUUGGGGGCAUUAGUAUUCAAUUGUCAGAGGUGAAAUUCUUGGAUUUAUUGAAGACUAACUACUGCGAAAGCAUUUGCCAAGGAUGUUUUCAUUAAUCAAGAACGAAAGUUAGGGGAUCGAAGACGAUCAGAUACCGUCGUAGUCUUAACCAUAAACUAUGCCGACUAGGGAUCGGAUGAUGUUAAUUUUUUAAUGACUCAUUCGGCGCCUUACG
rnacentral:rRNA from 1 species